AUUGAACGCUGGCGGCAGGCUUAACACAUGCAAGUCGAGCGGGGGGAGGUAGCUUGCUACCGGACCUAGCGGCGGACGGGUGAGUAAUGCUUAGGAAUCUGCCUAUUAGUGGGGGACAACAUCUCGAAAGGGAUGCUAAUACUGCAUACGUCCUACGGGAGAAAGCAGGGGACCUUCGGACCUCGCGCUAAUAGAUGAGCCUAAGUCGGAUUAGCUAGUUGGUGGGGUAAAGGCCUACCAAGGCGACGAUCUGUAGCGGGUCUGAGAGGAUGAUCCGCCACACUGGGACUGAGACACGGCCCAGACUCCUACGGGAGGCAGCAGUGGGGAAUAUUGGACAAUGGGGGGAACCCUGAUCCAGCCAUGCCGCGUGUGUGAAGAAGGCCUUAUGGUUGUAAAGCACUUUAAGCGAGGAGGAGGCUACUUUAGUUAAUACCUAGAGAUAGUGGACGUUACUCGCAGAAUAAGCACCGGCUAACUCUGUGCCAGCCGCCGCCGUAA
rnacentral:rRNA from 1 species